GAUGAACGCUGGCGGCGUGCCUAAUACAUGCAAGUCGAGCGAACGGACGAGAAGCUUGCUCCUCUGAUGUUAGCGGCGGACGGGUGAGUAACACGUGGAUAACCUACCUAUAAGACUGGGAUAACUUCGGGAAACCGGAGCUAAUACCGGAUAAUAUAUUGAACCGCAUGGUUCAAUAGUGAAAGACGGUUUUGCUGUCACUUAUAGAUGGAUCCGCGCCGCAUUAGCUAGUUGGUAAGGUAAUGGCUUACCAAGGCAACGAUGCAUAGCCGACCUGAGAGGGUGAUCGGCCACACUGGAACUGAGACACGGUCCAGACUCCUACGGGAGGCAGCAGUAGGGAAUCUUCCGCAAUGGGCGAAAGCCUGACGGAGCAACGCCGCGUGAGGGAUGAAGGUCUUCGGAUCGUAAAACUCUGUUAUUAGGGAAGAACAAAUGUGUAAGUAACUGUGAACAUCUUGACGGUACCUAAUCAGAAAGCCACGGCUAACUACGUG
rnacentral:rRNA from 1 species